CCUACGGGAGGCAGCAGUGAGGAAUAUUGGUCAAUGGACGCGAGCCUGAACCAGCCAUGCCGCGUGCAGGAAGACUGCCCUACGGGUUGUAAACUUCUUUUAUACGAGGAUAAACUGAGACACGUGUGCCUGUUUGUAAGUACUUUAUGAAUAAGGAUCGGCUAACUCCGUGCCAGCAGCCGCGGUAAUACGGAGGAUCCACCCGUUAUCCGGAUUUAUUGGGUUUAAAGGGAGCGUAGAUGGGUUGUUAAGUCAGUGGGGAAAGUGUGCGGCUCAACCGUAAAAUUGCAAUUGAUACUGGAAGUCUUGUGGACAGUUGAGGUAGGAGGAAUUCGUGGUGUAGCGGUGAAAUGCUGAGAUAUCACGAAGAACGCCGAUUGCGAAGGCAGCUUACUAAACUGCCACUGACAGUGAUGCUCGAAAGUGUGGGUAUCAAACAGGAUUAGAUACCCCAGUAGUC
rnacentral:rRNA from 1 species